rnacentral:sRNA from 1 species
AUGUACCGCUCGCAGACGGCGGUUCUGAGUGCGCCGCCCACGCCCAUCUGCGGCCUGCUCGCUACGUUCGCUUGGCC